rnacentral:rRNA from 1 species
AUUGAACGCUGGCGGCAGGCUUAACACAUGCAAGUCGAGCGAGCGGCGGACGGGUGAGUAAUGUCUGGGAAACUGCCUGAUGGAGGGGGAUAACUACUGGAAACGGUAGCUAAUACCGCAUACCCUCAGAUGUGCCCAGCUGGGAUUAGCUAGUAGGUAAGGUAACGGCUUACCUAGGCGACGAUCCCUAGCUGGUCUGAGAGGAUGAUCAGCAAAACGGGGACUGAGACACGGCCCAGACUCCUACGGGAGGCAGCAGUGGGGAAUAUUGCACAAUGGGCGCAAGCCUGAUGCAGCCAUGCCGCGUGUAUGAAGAAGGCCUUCGGGUUGGAAAGUACUUUCAGUGGGGAGGCGUUACCGGCAGAAGAAGCACCGGCUAACUCCGUGCCAGCAGCCGCGGUAAUAC